CUCACACCCAAAUCAAAAUCCACAUCAAAACCCAAAAAUCACUACCAAUAGCUUCCAAAACAGAGCCGACCCAGAAGCUGGUCUUCUCAGAGGAGUACAAAGCCACCAUCUUUGCUGCAGAACCAAGCUCAGAAGCACAGCCAACAAUGCAAAAAUCUCAGAGGUGAUAGAUGGUGCGAUCUGGAUUUGAUAAUCUGUGUUUCUUUCUUUUGGUAUUGUAUCCAGUGGUCUGCGUGUUGAGUAAUUGGGAGCAUCGCAAAAGCUUGGUGAGAUUUCGAUUUGGUAGAAUCAAUAUCAACAGAGUUUAAGCUGAUUUCCUUGAAUUUGUUAUGUGCUUUUUCAGUUUUGUGGUUGUUAUAAUCGGCGUUUGUUUCUUUUUGUUUUGUAUUCAGUGUUUUGCGUUUUGAUUGGAUCCAGUUUGUGAUGAGACGAUUGGGUUUAGAACAAGUAGAACAGGUGUGGUAUUUGAUUGUGUUCGUGUUUCUUUAAUUGAUUAGUUGAUAAUUGUGUGUGUUCUGAGGUUAUCAAGGUCAGUCACUGAGAUCAACGCUGAUAAAAUUAUAUGGUGCCAAUCUCAGAUUCUGCUGAUAAUCUGAGAAAAGAAAACUAAAGCAAAUAGAAAAGGACCUUUGUGAUUCGGCGGAGCAUAAGAAGAGGGCUUUGAGUCUGGCUUUAUUUGGGGCUGCUUACUUACAAACAUUACUCUCUAGUCUUUGCAAAAUCUCAGACACUGCAACAGAAAAGAGAAGAAGGCAAAUCAGUUUGAUCUGCAAUUUCACAAUCCUUGCAAAACCUUGGGCACUGCAAUACAGAAGAGAAGAAGCCAAAUCAAUUUGAUCUCCAAUUUGACACGUGAGAUGCCAUCAAGCUGUACCGCAUCAAUCAAGCUCUGAGAUACAGAGUUUGGGUUGAAAAUGAGUACAAAAUUUGACCAUCUACGGGUACCAGGGAAUCUCACUGUUUUUGCUUCCUUCACUGGUCAAUCUGACCAGGCAUUGAAUCAAAUACCCGGAUUAUUAUCUUUUGAAAUUGCGUUGAGAAAAGCAAGAGAGCUCCAGGCCUAUGUUGACGUGGUUGGUUCCUGUACUGGAAUGGUUCAUUUACAUAUUGUUGGCGUACUUAUUAUGAACGGUGUGAGAUUACUACUACCAAAAGUUGUGCCUUUUGAAGAUUAUUGCUGGUUAGUAUUUUUUUUUUCCAUGCUGGAUUUGUCAAUGUCUAAAUGGAAUGUGAUUCACAAGCAGCUGCUCCAUCUUUUUCGAAUCAUUAACAAUUGGCCUCAGCAAAACCACGCACACUGGAGGAAGCAACUUUUUGGACAUCCUCCAUGACUAGCUAUCAAUAGGCUAACACCGUUUGAGAAUAUACACCUGCUAAUGGACAUCAUACAACUAUUUUUUGCAAACUAUUGCAGCAGCAAUUGUAAUUAGCUUUAAACUGUGACAACCUAUUUUUUGAACACACUACCACAACAUAUGUAUUGGUGGUUAUGUUGCUAGAACAUGAUCUACUUCAUCUUUUGUUGUAAAACAUACAAUCUUUUGUUAAUAUAAUGAUUAUGUCGACUAUAUUUUCUAUGCUUUUGGAUUAUGUCCUUAAAUAACAUUAUGUUAGCUUCAAAACCCGCGGCAAAGCGCGGGCACAAUUU